rnacentral:piRNA from 1 species
UACGCCAAGAUUAAGAGGUAGAUAUCUC